rnacentral:rRNA from 1 species
UACGUAGGCAGCAAGCGUUGUUCGGAGUUACUGGGCGUAAAGGGUGUGUAGGCGGUUCUUUAAGUUUGGUGUGAAAUCUCCCGGCUCAACUGGGAGGGUGCGCCGAAUACUGAGGGACUAGAGUACGGGAGAGGAAAGUGGAAUUCCUGGUGUAGCGGUGAAAUGCGUAGAUAUCAGGAGGAACACCGGUGGUGUAGACGGCUUUCUGGACCGACACUGACGCUGAGGCGCGAAAGCUAGGGGAGCAAACGGG